rnacentral:rRNA from 1 species
GAAACACGGACCAAGGAGUCUAACAUGUGCGCGAGUCAUUGGGCUCUACGAAACCCACAGGCGGAAUGAAAGUGAAGGGCGGCGCUAGUCGCCUAGAGGUGGGAUCCCCUGGUCUGGCCAGGGGCGCACCACCGGCCCGUCUCAAGACCGGCUUGUGCUCCGGGAGGCGGCGCGAGAGCGUACACGUUGGGACCCGAAAGAUGGUGAACUAUGCCUGAGCAGGUUGAAGCCAGAGGAAACUCUGGUGGAGGACCGUAGCGAUUCUGACGUGCAAAUCGAUCGUCAAACUUGGGUAUAGGGGCGAAAGACUAAUCGAACCGUCUAGUAGCU